GACGAACGCUGGCGGCGUGCUUAACACAUGCAAGUCGAACGGUAAGGCCCCUUCGGGGGUACACGAGUGGCGAACGGGUGAGUAACACGUGGGUGAUCUGCCCUGCACUUCGGGAUAAGCCUGGGAAACUGGGUCUAAUACCGGAUAGGACCACGCUCUGCAUGGAGUGUGGUGGAAAGCUUUUGCGGUGUGGGAUGGGCCCGCGGCCUAUCAGCUUGUUGGUGGGGUGAUGGCCUACCAAGGCGACGACGGGUAGCCGGCCUGAGAGGGUGUCCGGCCACACUGGGACUGAGAUACGGCCCAGACUCCUACGGGAGGCAGCAGUGGGGAAUAUUGCACAAUGGGCGCAAGCCUGAUGCAGCGACGCUGCGUGGGGGAUGACGGCCUUCGGGUUGUAAACCUCUUUCAGUACCGACGAAGCGCAAGUGACGGUAGGUACAGAAGAAGCACCGGCCAACUACGUG
rnacentral:rRNA from 1 species